UGGCGGACGGGUGAGUAACGCGUAAAGAACUUGCCCUUUAGACUGGGAUAACAGAGGGAAACUUCUGAUAAUAUUGGAUAAGUUAGUAUAUCGCAUGAUAUGCAAAUGAAAGCUACGGCACUAAAGGAGAGCUUUGCGUCCUAUUAGCUAGUUGGUAAGGUAAGAGCUUACCAAGGCGAUGAUAGGUAGCCGGCCUGAGAGGGUGGACGGCCACAAGGGGACUGAGAUACGGCCCUUACUCCUACGGGAGGCAGCAGCG
rnacentral:rRNA from 1 species